rnacentral:rRNA from 1 species
GGAAUUUUGGACAAUGGGCGCAAGCCUGAUCCAGCCAUUCCGCGUGCAGGACGAAGGCCUUCGGGUUGUAAACUGCUUUUGUACGGAACGAAAAAGUCUUGGCUAAUACCCAGGAUCCAUGACGGUACCGUAAGAAUAAGCACCGGCUAACUACGUGCCAGCAGCCGCGGUAAUACGUAGGGUGCGAGCGUUAAUCGGAAUUACUGGGCGUAAAGCGUGCGCAGGCGGUUAUAUAAGACAGAUGUGAAAUCCCCGGGCUCAACCUGGGAACUGCAUUUGUGACUGUAUAGCUAGAGUGCGGCAGAGGGGGAUGGAAUUCCGCGUGUAGCAGUGAAAUGCGUAGAUAUGCGGAGGAACACCGAUGGCGAAGGCAAUCCCCUGGGCCUGCACUGACGCUCAUGCACGAAAGCGUGGGGAGCAAACAGGAUUAGAUACCCUGGUAGUCCACGCCCUAAACGAUGUCAACUGGUUGUUGGGUCUUCACUGACUCAGUAACGAAGCUAACGCGUGAAGUUGACCGCCUGGGGAGUACGGCCGCAAGGUUGAAACUCAAAUGAAUUGACGG